GGGGACGUUUUGGAUUCGACAGGAAUAGGUCGAGCUUGCGUGGCAAGUCGAGGGGUCGGCCUCGUUAAAACGCACUAGCCAAUAACUGGCAAACAAGAAAACAACUUCGCUUUAGCUGCAUAAGCUAAGCGGCUUCUCCUCACCAUCACCCAUGUGGUGUGGUUGAAGCUCAACUUUAGUGGGAUACGCCUUGCCCUCGCCGUCUGAGGGAGCGGGAAGAGAUUAAUCAGACUAGCUACAUGGAAGCCUGUCUUUGGGCUGAUGUGUUAGUGAAAUGCUAAUACAAAGACUAUGCUUGUAGAAGCGUAAGUGUCGUUAUUUCUGGACGUGGGUUCAAUUCCCACCGUCUCCAUUU
rnacentral:tmRNA from 1 species